AAAAAGCCGCGCUGGCAACCUCCGCAGCGGUCGCGCGCACCCUUCAUCCCUCUUGCUGCUUUUGUCUGGCACAACCUUCUCAGGCCCUCCGCGAGGCCGGCCCUUUUUUUCUUUCACUUUCCCCACCCGGAGAGCCAGGUGCCGAGAACUAGGACCUCGUCCCCUUCUCUAUCCCUUCCCCUGAUCCAUCUCGUCUCUGUUCUCCUUCCCUUUUCCGUUCCCGAAGCCGGAAGGAGCCGAGGUACCCACGGAAAAAGUCGAAGCUGUCCCCGGAGAGUGAGGCCUUCACGAAGCGGUGGCGGAAGGAGCCGAAGUUCUCUGAUCGGAGGCGUGAGCAAGUGGCAUCUCCGGAAAGAGCCGAAACACGGACUCGAGCUUAAUCCCAGGAGGGGCCCGAGGGCGAGAUCCGGAAAUCUCCGGAAAGAGCCGAAGGCCGGGACGGUUAGGAUUGUCGGAAGUGGCCGAUUGCUUGGACAGGGCCGGCGGAGAAGAUCGGAGCAAGUCCGUGGAAGAAGCCAAAGACUGGGACGGAUUGAAUUGUUGGAAGAACCCGAACUCGCAGAGGGGACUGGGCGCAGUGGCACACGAGGACACACGGAAACCUCCGAACGUUGAGGAGAUAAUCUCGGAAAAGUUACGGAAACCUGGGAAGUCGGCGAAACCCUACGUUCGGGUGUUUUCGGAAGCAGCCGAAGCGGCCGCCUGCUUCGCCUUCGUCCAGUAUCCGGAGAUAGCCGAGGCGCUUCGGAGCCAGGCUCGGGGGGAGGGGCAAGCUCGCGGGCGGGCGGGCGGGUGAGGGGGCGGAGCCCGGGCGGGGCGGGGAGGGCUGCCGGAGGCUUGAUUAGGUAGGAGGUGGCGAAGCGCCGGCGGCGGCCGGAAGUAGCCGAA
rnacentral:lncRNA from 10 species